rnacentral:lncRNA from 1 species
GCCAUUUACACCUAUUUACAUAUAAAAACAUAUACCAUUUUCAAGCCAAAUCAAUUGGCUAAAUAGCCAAAAUACUUAUACAUGCCAUUUAACCAAAAUAUAAAGUCCCAAGUACCAAAAUAAGUGUUCAAUAGUGUAACGCAAUCUCCGAAAACGUCCAAACCAAGCGAGCUUCCGAAGCAAUAAAAAAACACAAAAAAUAAACAGAGUAAGCAAUUAAUCUUAGUAAGUUCGUAAAAC